UUGGAGGGCAAGUCUGGUGCCAGCAGCCGCGGUAAUUCCAGCUCCAAUAGCGUAUAUUAAAGUUGUUGCAGUUAAAAAGCUCGUAGUUGAAUUUCGGGGUCAAUAGGUUGGUCGUGCCAAUGGUAUGUACUGGCUUUAUUGAUUCCUACCUCUUGACGAACUGUGAUGCCAUUAAUUUGGUGUUGCAGGAAAUCAGGACUGUUACCUUGAAAAAAUUAGAGUGUUUAAAGCAGGCUUACGCUUGAAUACAUUAGCAUGGAAUAAUGAAAUAGGACGUUUGAACCUAUUUUGUUGGUUUCUAGGAUCGACGUAAUGAUUAAUAGGGAUAGUUGGGGGCAUUAGUAUUCAAUUGUCAGAGGUGAAAUUCUUGGAUUUAUUGAAGACUAACUACUGCGAAAGCAUUUGCCAAGGAUGUUUUCAUUAAUCAAGAACGAAAGUUAGGGGAUCGAAGACGAUCAGAUACCGUCGUAGUCUUAACCAUAAACUAUGCCGACUAGGGAUCGGAUGAUGUUAAUUUUUUAAUGACUCAUUCGGCACCUUACGGGAAACG
rnacentral:rRNA from 1 species